UGUCCGGUGGUGUAAUGGUAGCACAACUCCCUUUGGAGGAGUUUGUCUUGGUUCGAAUCCAGGCCGGACAGCCA
rnacentral:tRNA from 1 species